rnacentral:rRNA from 1 species
UACGAAGGGGGCUAGCGUUGUUCGGAAUUACUGGGCGUAAAGCGCGCGUAGGUUGCAAUGCAAGUCAGUGGUGAAAUCCCGAAGCUUAACUUCGGAACUGCCAUUGAAACUGCACUGCUAGAAUCUCAGAGGGGGUAGCGGAAUUCCAAAUGUAGGGGUGAAAUCCGUAGAUAUUUGGAGGAACACCGGUGGCGAAGGCGGCUACCUGGAUGAGUAUUGACACUGAGGCGCGAAAGCGUGGGGAUCAAAC